AGCUGCCAAGCAAUUCCAUCUUAUGGAGGCGCCAUAAUUUCCCUAUUUCCUGAUGGAGGAAAAUCUUCAAAAUUUUUGUUAUGAACACCAUGGCCAUGGAACCCUUUAUGCAGUGAGUUCUGAGCACAGCAUAGCAACCAGCAAGAAAAACCAUACAAUGAAAGGGCCUCAGCUUCCACACACCAUCUUGAUGAAAACUUGAAGUGACAAUUCAUGAAGUUGGGAGCUUCCCACAGUGCAAUUCAGCCUCUGUUGUUACCUGCUUCACACUGUGCAGUGUCAGACAGUUGGUUGCAGUCAGAGAGCCAGGGCUCAAAUCCUGGACUUUUGUCUUUGGAACCUGAGACUCCUCAGUUUACUGAGGUAAUGGCUUCUGACAUUUGGCACAGAGGGAAUGAGUAUAAAAAUAAUGACAGCAUAGAAGGAAUGCUGACC